GGGCACAUGGUGUAGUUGGUUUAUCACGCCCGCUUAGCAACUGUAAAUGCGGGAGGUGUCCGGUUCAAUUCCGGAUGUGUCCA